rnacentral:rRNA from 1 species
GACGAACGCUGGCGGCGUGCAUAACACAUGCAAGUCGAACGAUGAACCUUAUUAGAUUUCUUCGGAAUGAAAUUAAGCGGAUUAGUGGCGAACGGGUGAGUAACACGUGAGUAACCUGCCUUACACAAGGGGAUAGCCUUUGGAAACGAAGAAUAAUACCCUAUAAAGUCAAAAUAUCGCAUGAUAUAGUGACCAAAGAUUUAUCGGUGUAAGAUGGACUUGCGUCUGAUUAGCUAGUUGGUGAGAUAAAAGCCCACCAAGGCGACGAUCAGUAGCCGGCUUGAGAGAGUGUACGGCCACAUUGGGACUGAGACACGGCCCAAACUCCUACGGGAGGCAGCAGUGGGGAAUUUUGCACAAUGGGGGAAACCCUGAUGCAGCGACGCCGCGUGAUUUAGAAGGCCUUCGGGUUGUAAAAAUCUUUUUUAUGGGAUGAAAAUGACAGUACCAUAAGAAUAAGGUCCGGCUAAAUACGUGCCAGCAGCCGCGGUAAUACGUAUGGACCGAGCGUUGUCCGGAAUCAUUGGGCGUAAAGGGUACGUAGGCGGCCUAGUAAGUUAGAAGUGAAAUAAUAUAGCUCAACUAUAUAAAGCUUUUAAAACUGUUAGGCUUGAGAGAUGAAAGGGAAAGUGGAAUUCCUAGUGUAGCGGUGAAAUGCGCAGAUAUUAGGAAGAAUACCGGUGGCGAAGGCGACUUUCUGGUCAUCAUCUGACGCUGAGGUACGAAAGCGUGGGUAGCAAACAGG